AGAUGGGACCGUCUAGUUGCAGGAAAACAAACUCAGGGCCCACUGAUUCUGCAUUAUGAGAUUUGAUCUUAUGUAAUCUUCAGAGCUGGCUAAGCUUCCUGGUUAGGACAUCUCUGCAAGUCUCUUUGCCUCUGAUACUGGAGUUGAAGUCUACAAGAGAGGAGUCAGGAAGAAAAAUUGGAUGUAAGAUAAGGAACAAGAACAAGCUGGAAUUCACAGCAGAAUUGGAGCCCAUGAUUAUGGACAGAAAACUCUGCUUGUUUUUGUGACCUUACACCCGGUAUGCUGAUAGGGUGUCCUGCAGAAGCUGGGCCUCUCAUAGCAGAGCUCAACACAUUCACCUAGCAUAGAUUGAGAGAAGUUUCAAGGAGGAUUGAGGGGAUGGUAAAGCAUUUUAAGGCCAAGCUGCUGCUCCUCCUGCUAAUGAUGUAAUUCCAUCUUUAUCAGCAUAUGAGAGCUUAAAAAUUGUAACUUCACCUCUGCUCUCCAAAUCAAGAACAAUAAUUUGUCUAGAGCCCAUCUUAACCAGAACACACAGGAAGAGGAAUUCUGGGUAACAUAGUCCGACAUACCAAAGUUAGCACGUUGAAAAGAAUAUGAGUGUCAACUGGGCACUUACACACAUCUCCUUACAAUAUGCAUAAUUUUCAAAUAAGAAAAUAAGUCACCUUUUCCUAGCAUCAUGCAAGCCUUCUGCUAAAUAAAAACACUGUAACCUUUUCCCUAUAA